rnacentral:rRNA from 1 species
UGGGGAAUAUUGGACAAUGGGCGAAAGCCUGAUCCAGCCAUGCCGCGUGAGUGAAGAAGGUCUUCGGAUUGUAAAGCACUUUAAGGUGGGAGGAAGGGCAGUAAGCGAAUACCUUGUUGUUUUGACGUUACCGACAGAAUAAGCACCGGCUAACUCUGUGCCAGCAGUCGCGGUAAUACAGAGGGUGCAAGCGUUAAUCGGAAUUACUGGGAGUAAAGCGCGCGUAGGUUGUUCGUUAAGUUGAAUGUGAAAGCCCCGGGCUCAACCUGGGAACUGCAUCCAAAACUGGCGAGAUAGGGUAGGGCAGAGGGUGGUGGAAUUUCCUGUGUAGCGGUGAAAUGCGUAGGUAUAGGAAGGAACACCAGUGGCGAAGGCGACCACCUGGGCUCAUACUGACACUGAGGUGCGAAAGCGUGGGGAGCAAACAGG